rnacentral:tRNA from 1 species
GCCUCUGUAGCUCAGUGGCUAGAGCAGCGCUCUCGUAAAGCGCAGGUCAAGGGUUCGAAUCCCUUCAGAGGCU